AACCGCCGUGUACCGAACGGUACGCACGGUGGUGUGAGAGGUCGGCGGUCAAAGACCGCCUCCUACUCGAU
rnacentral:ncRNA from 2 species